CACCCCCGCAACCUAGGUAGAGUGCCAUGCAUGUCUAAGUACAAGCCGUGUUUACACGGCGAGACCGCGGACGGCUCAUUAAAUCAGUCGUGGUCCAUAUGGGCUAGAGUUAAUCCUACUUGGAUAACUGUGGUAAUUCCAGAGCUAAUACAUGCAACUCUUAUCCUGACGUAGCGCGGCUUAUCUCUUUCUCGCUCUCUCACGAGUGUGUGUUUUGGGUUUGUCGUAGCGCUGACGGAUGCUUUUAUUAGACCAAACCGCUGGGUGCGUGUUCGUGUUUAUUCGCGGAUGCGUACGGCUCGUUUAAUGGUGACUCUGGAUAACCUUAUUGACAAGCGCACGUACUCCUCGUGGGACGGCGCUGCCACUUUCGAGUGUCUGCCUUAUCAGCUAUCAACCGUUCGUUAUGUGCGCACGAUGGCUUUGACGGGUAACGGGGAAUCAGAGUUCGAUUCCGGAGAGGCAGCCUGAGAGACGGCUACCACGUCCAAGGACGGCAGCAGGCACGCAAAUUACCCAAUCCCAGCACCUGGGGGAGGUAGUGACGAAAUCUAACGAUGCGGGCGCCCUUUCUGGGGCCCCGCAAUCGGAAUGGCCACUUUCUAAACAACCUGUUGAGAACCUACUGAAGGGCAAGUCUGGUGCCAGCAGCCGCGGUAAUUCCAGCUUCAGUAGCAUCUAUUAAAGUUGCUGCGGUUAAAAGGCUCGCAGUUGAAUGUCAGUAUCGAGCGCAGGUCAGGUGGACGCUGGGGCGUGAACAUUCAAGGCGCUUCGCUUGUGUUGAUUGUUGAGUGCAUGCACGCGCAUUCGUACGAAAGUGCACAUAUGUAUCGCUGUGAGUCGUGUGCCGAGUAAACCUGGCGUUGCCUGGGAGGAGGAGUCGUCGGAGCGCUGAUGUGCUUGUGCGUGUGUUGCUCUCGUGUGUGACUGUAGCCUCGUGUUGCGGUUGCGUGCGGGGGUGCGCGCGUGCUUGUGUGUUGGUGUUUCUUCUUCUUUUUCUUUCGGUGCGUCGGGCCUUGGACUGCACACUCCAAGUCCGCCGCUUAUGCUUAAAACUCUUCUUAGAGGGAUUCACGGUUCUGAAGCCGUAAGAGACUGAGAGCAAUAACAGGUCUGUGAUGCCCUUAGAUGUUCUGGGCCGCACGCGCGCUACAAUGCCGGGCACAGCAGGUAUUUUUCCUACUCCGACAGGAGCGGGUAACCCUGUGAAAGCCCUAUGUCUUACAGUUUAACGGGUGUCGAGUUCGUCUCGAUGCUCUUCUGGCGUGAUUGGGCCUGGGUCUUGCAAUUUUUUCCCACUAACGAGGAAUGCCUUGUAGCGGCGGGUCACUGAGCCCGCCGUGACUCAGUCCCUGCCCUUUGUACACACCGCCCGUCGCUACUACCGAUUGGGUGUACCAGUGAGAGCCUUGGACUGGCGUCCGCUG
rnacentral:rRNA from 1 species